rnacentral:rRNA from 1 species
GUGGGAAUUGCUGGAGAUACUAUUAGACUUGAGACCGGGAGAGGUUAGAGGUACUCCCAGGGUAGAGGUGAAAUUCUGUAAUCCUGGGAGGACCGCCUGUUGCGAAGGCGUCUAACUGGAACGGUUCUGACGGUGAGGGACGAAAGUUAGGGGCGCGAACCGGAUUAGAUACCCGGGUAGUCCUAACUGUAAACGAUGCGGACUUGGUGUUGGGGUGGCUUUGAGCUGCUUCAGUGCCGAAGGGAAGCUGUUAAGUCCGCCGCCUGGGAAGUACGGUCGCAAGACUGAAACUUAAAGGAAUUGGCGGGGAGCACCACAACGCGUGGAGCCUGCGGUUUAAUUGGAUUCAACGCCGGACAUCUCACCAGAGGCGACAGCUGUAUGAUAGCCAGGUUGAUGACUUUGCUUGACUAGCUGAGGGGUGGUGCAUGG